AUUGAACGCUGGCGGCAUGCUUUACACAUGCAAGUCGAACGGUAACAGGCCUUCGGGUGCUGACGAGUGGCGAACGGGUGAGUAAUGCAUCGGAACGUGCCCAGAGGUGGGGGAUAACGCAGCGAAAGCUGUGCUAAUACCGCAUGUGAUCUGAGGAUGAAAGCGGGGGACCAGGCAGCAAUGUUUGGCCUCGCGCCUUUGGAGCGGCCGAUGUCAGCUUCGGUAGUUGGUGGGGUAAAGGCCUACCAAGCCGACGAUCUGUAGCUGGUCUGAGAGGACGACCAGCCACUGUGGGACGGAGACACGGCCCAGACCCCGAAGGGAGGCAGGAGUGGGAAAUUUUGGAGAAUGGGCGGAAGCCUGAUCCAGGAAUGCCGCGUGCGGGAAGAAGGCCUUCGGGUUGUAAACCGCUUUUGUACGGAAAGAAAAGGCUCUGGCUAAUACCUGGGGCUGAUGACGGUACCGUAAGAAUAAGCACCGGCUAACUACGU
rnacentral:rRNA from 1 species